rnacentral:misc_RNA from 1 species
GAUGGAGAACGUAGCGAAAUGCGAUACUUGGUGUGAAUUGCAGAAUCCCGUGAACCAUCGAGUCUUUGAACGCAAGUUGCGCCUCAAGCCAUUAGGUUGAGGGCACGUCUGCCUGGGCGUCACAUAUCGUUGCCUGAUGCCAGUUUCCUCGUGAUGGGUGACUGUGCAGGGCGAAUGAUGGCUUCCCGUGAGCAUUGUUGCCUCAUGGUUGGUUGAAAAUUGAGUCCUUGGUAGGGAGCGCCGUGAUAGAUGGUGGUUGAGUGACGAACGAGACCCAAUCAUGUGAGACCCCUACCGAAUUUGGCCUUCAUGACCCACAUGCGUCUUUGGAACGCUCAUGACGAGACCUCAGGUCAGGCGGGGCUACCCGCUGAGUUUAAGCAUAUCAAUAAGCGGAGGA